rnacentral:rRNA from 1 species
GAUGAACGCUAGCGGCAGGCUUAAUACAUGCAAGUCGUGGGGCAGCGCAGUGUAGCAAUACAUGGGCGGCGACCGGCAAACGGGUGCGGAACACGUACACAACCUUCCUUCAAAUGGGGAAUAGCCCAGGGAAACUUGGAUUAAUACCCCGUAACAUUAUGAGGUGGCAUCACUUUAUAAUUAUAGCUCCGGCGUUUGGAGAUGGGUGUGCGGCUGAUUAGGUAGUUGGCGGGGAACGGCCACCAAGCCUUCCGAUCAGUAACUGGUGUGAGAGCACGACCAGUCACACGGGCACUGAGACACGGGCCCGACUCCUACGGGAGGCAGCAGUAAGGAAUAUUGGGCAAUGGACGCAAGUCUGACCCAGCA